AAAGGGAAUCGGGUUAAUAUUCCCGAACCUCGACGCGGAGAUUGGCGCUCCGGCGCCUAGUGCGGCAACGCAAACGAACUCGGAAACGCCGACGUGGGUCCCGGGAAGAGUUCUCUUUUCUUGGUAAGGGGCGGCGACCCUGGAAUCGGUUCGCCCGGAGAUAGGGACAUGGGCCCCGUAAAGCAGCACGUCUCUUGUGCUGUCCGGUGAGCUCGCGUCGGCCCUUGAAAAUCCGAGGGAGACGGUGUAAUUUUCGUGCGAGGGCCUACCCAUAUCCGCAGCAGGUCUCCAAGGUGAACAGCCUCUGGCCGAUAGAACAAUGUAGGUAAGGGAAGUCGGCAAACUAGAUCCGUAACUUCGGGAAAAGGAUUGGCUCUAGGGGCUGGGUCGGUCGGGCUGAGGUACGAAGCGGGGCGCGGCGCUGUACCGGACUGGGCGAACGACGGCCUCCCUCGCGGGGGGCUGGCGUGAGCCUGGACCUGUGUCGGCGUCUUCCCGUGGAAUGCCGCAGCUAACGCGGGCCUCGCGGCCCGCUUCGGCCGGCGUCGAACAGCCGACUUAGAACUGGUACGGACCGGGGGAAUCCGACUGUUUAAUUAAAACAAAGCUUUGCGAUGGCCGUCAGCCGGUGUUGACGCAAUGUGAUUUCUGCCCAGUGCUCUG
rnacentral:ncRNA from 1 species